rnacentral:rRNA from 1 species
AUACGGAGGGUGCAAGCGUUGUUCGGAAUCACUGGGCGUAAAGGGCGCGCAGGCGGUUUGGUAAGUCAGAUGUGAAAGCCCACGGCUCAACCGUGGAAGUGCAUUUGAAACUGUCAGACUUGAGUACUAGAGGGGAAAGUGGAAUUCCCGGUGUAGAGGUGAAAUUCGUAGAUAUCUGGAGGAAUACCGGUGGCGAAGGCGACUUUCUGGCUAGAUACUGACGCUGAGGCGCGAAAGCGUGGGUAGCAAACAGGAUUAGAAACCCCAGUAGUCC